GAUGAACGCUGGCGGCGUGCCUAAUACAUGCAAGUCGAGCGAACAGACGAGGAGCUUGCUCCUCUGACGUUAGCGGCGGACGGGUGAGUAACACGUGGAUAACCUACCUAUCAGACUGGGAUAACUUCGGGAAACCGGAGCUAAUACCGGAUAAUAUAUUGAACCGCAUGGUUCAAUAGUGAAAGACGGUUUUGCUGUCACUUAUAGAUGGAUCCGCGCCGCAUUAGCUAGUUGGUAAGGUAACGGCUUACCAAGGCGACGAUGCGUAGCCGACCUGAGAGGGUGAUCGGCCACACUGGAACGGGAACACGGACCAGACUCCUACGGGAGGCAGCAGUAGGGAAUCUUCCGCAAUGGGCGAAAGCCUGACGGAGCAACGCCGCGUGAGUGAUGAAGGUCUUCGGAUCGUAAAACUCUGUUAUUAGGGAAGAACAAAUGUGUAAGUAACUAUGCACGUCUUGACGGUACCUAAUCAGAAAGCCACGGCUAACUACGUG
rnacentral:rRNA from 1 species